AUGAUGAGCCCCUCCCCUCCUUGCUCCGGCCACGUGACAGACUUGCUGGCCCUCCUUCCCCACACAGAGUCAAGCAUGUGGUCCACCUCGCCUAGAACGCCCUGCCCCCGUUUCCUCCCAGCGCCACUAGCUUGGCAUGAAAGAAUCCCGGCAGUCAGAAACCCACACGUCUGGCUUCACAGCUUCCUGCUGUGGAUCUCAGUGUCCAGCGAAGCCUGCCCUGGACUUCCAUCACUGACUCCGGUUCUCCCUCACUGUGAGCCCAGCUGCUCGCCAGGGACACCAGUUCUGGAGGCCCACCUGCCUGAGGCCGGCAUUCAUUUGAGAAAUGUGGGAAAUGUCAGCACCGUGGGCUGUGGCUGGCUGGCUGGGCGAGGAAAUGGGAGCAUCCAUAUGCCUCAUUCCUUUUCCUUCAUCUGUCCCAGAGACUGUUCUGCAUCACCUUGGACAGACCCACGUCUUCUUUCCCACUGACUGAGAGCUGCGUGUUGGUAUACGGACAUCAAGCUGAAUUUAUCCACUGCUCACUCCAGAGGCAUCAGGCUGUUCUGGGCCUUCACUCUAGUAAACAGAGUUGCAUGGAACAUCGCUCCUGCACGCUUGUAGGAAUGUGCCUUGGCACACAUGUGCUGGUGCCAUAGACAAUGUGGGGAGCCUCCUCCGAGGCAGAACUGUGCUGGGGGACCUUCCAUCGUGCUCCUGCCCAAAGCAACACAAUGCCCUGCGGUCUCGUCACUUUAGGUGUUUCGUGGGGGGACUCACUCUCACCAGAGAGCAAAGAUGUUCCAUCAGCUUGAUUUUCAAAUGACUUAACCACAGAAUCUACCUCGUCAGCCCUUGGUUUGUGAAUGUGAGUCCUUCCCUGGAAAACACUGUUAUUAAAAAAAAAAAAAGAAGAAGCAGCAGCAGCAGAAGAAGAGGGCUGGUGGAGAAGAGCAUCCUCAGAACAUGGCCAACAUUGCUCCCUGAACGGAGGGAGCCAGAUGGACUAGAACCCAGACCCGCAGACCCCAGUCCCUUUGUUCUGCUGAGCUCCCCCAGCACCACAGAAACAUUAAACAGCACUAUCUCUGUCAGCUCAGACACAGUAAGAUCUGUGCCUGCACCCCUCUGAGCCUUCCUCAGUUGCCAGAAGGGGUUUGGAACACACACAUCACCCCCUGCCACCGUGUAGCCCAUUAGCAUCUGAACAUCUCUGGGGUUCGCAGAGGAGAUGGAACAGCCCCAGAUAUGUUCUCCGAAGCAGAAACUUCUCCGGGAUGGGGCCAGGCCACCCCUGCCCAGCUGGACAGAACAGGACUUUGGGCAGACUUGCCGGCUGCCACCUUGCUUCCCAAGCAUGGCCGUUUCUGUGGACGAUGGCCUGGCCUGCUGCCACCGCGAACCGCCCUGCCGAGCCCACCCCAUUCAUACCAAAACAACUGAUCUAGAAAUUAUUUAUAGAUCCGAACUCCACAGAAACCAUUGUGUCCUCCGUUGCUGUGACAACAGGGAUGUGGCGCAAGAGCUGGGCUUGGAGGGACCAUGGAGGCCAGUGAAGGCGAUUGAUUUCCAGCCGGGAGCCCCGGCUCACACGCGCCAUCGGGGGUCACUGGGAAUGAAAGGAGGCUUUCAAUUGUGCUUCCAGUGAGGGCUGGCUCGUGUCCCGGAAAACAGCACCACCUGGGUGUUCAGCUGCUGGCUAGGGGUUGGGUUUUGUUCAAACCUCUUGAUGAAAUCAUCCAGAACAAGCCUGGCGGAGCAUCGGCCAGCUGUGAAGUCUUCAAGAUCUGGCUCCUCACCCCAGGCCAGCUGCAGCAGGCUCCUGGGAGGAUGGGGCCCAGGAAUCUGUAUUGUAGUUUCUGGAUUGGUGAAAACCCAUGGGACGUGGUGAACUAAACCUCUAGAGAGUCACACACAUGCAUCUGUGUCCACUCGCUGUCCUAGGCAAUUUUGUUAGCUUCUCCGUUUCUUCUGGUUUUCUGCAUGGAUAUCAAACAUGUAGAAUAUAAGUGCUUUCCUUUCAAAAAAUAAGGGUACUGUGUCCCCUCUUAUGCACUUUGCUUUUUUCACUCAACAGUACAUUUAAAAAAAAUUUUUAAAAAGAUUUUAUUUAUUCAUUCAUGAGAGACACACAGAGAGAGAGGUAGAGACACAGGCAGAGGGAGAAGCAGGUGUCAUGCAGGGAGCCUGACGUGGGACUCGAUCCCGGGUCUCCAGGAUCACGUCGUAGGCUGAAGGUAGCGCUAAACCACUGAGCCACCUGGGCUGCCCUCAACAAUACAUUUUAAAGGGGUCUCCAGGGCACCUGGGUGGUUCAGGGGUUGAGCAUCUGCCUUUGGCUUAGGUCAUGAUCCCAGAGUCCCGGGAUUGAGUCCCACGUCAGGCUCCCUGCAAGGAGUCUGCUUCUUUCUUUGCCUGUGUCUCUGCCUCUCUGCAUCUCUCAUGAAUAAGUAAAUAAAAUCUUAAAAAAAAAAAAAAAAAGGUGUCUC
rnacentral:lncRNA from 12 species